rnacentral:rRNA from 1 species
UACGGGGGGGGCAAGCGUUGUUCGGAAUUACUGGGCGUAAAGGGUUCGUAGGUGGCCCGCUAAGUCACACGUGAAAUCCCUCAGCUUAACUGGGGAACUGCGUCUGAGACUGGCGAGCUCGAGUGCAGGAGAGGAACGCGGAAUUCCAGGUGUAGCGGUGAAAUGCGUAGAUAUCUGGAGGAACACCGGUGGCGAAGGCGGCGUUCUGGACUGCAACUGACGCUGAGGCGCGAAAGCUAGGGUAGCAAACGGG